CAUUAUUAAAUAAGAUAACUAUAGAAAAAGGGGCGAUGCCAAAUCUCGAGUUCUUAAGCAUUCGCCGUUGCUUGACAUUAGAAACAUUGCCACAGGGUAUUGAGCACCUUACUAAACUACAACGAUUCAGAUUUUAUAUUGUUUCAGAGAAGUUUAGAGAGUCCAUAAAAGAAGGAGGUGUGGAUCAUCCAAGGAUGCUACUCGUCGACGAGAGAUGUAAGAAAUAUACAAACAAGUCCUGGGAUUGAAGAUUUUACUCAUGAGUUUGGGGUUGGGAACUUGUUCGUCUUGUUUCGACCACAAGAGUGAUGUAGAUUGGCUUCUUAUUUGCUCUUUUGAAAAUCAAACAAUACCCAAGUUGAUGUUCAUAAAAUUGCAGUUGAUGUU